UACGAAGGGGGCUAGCGUUGUUCGGAUUCAUUGGGCGUAAAGGGUGCGUAGGUGGCGCUGUAAGUCGGGUGUGAAAUCCUGAGGCUUAACCUCAGAAUUGCAUUCGAUACUGCAGUGCUUGAGGACUGGAGAGGAGACCGGAAUUCAUGGUGUAGCAGUGAAAUGCGUAGAGAUCAUGAGGAAGACCAGUGGCGAAGGCGGGUCUCUGGACAGUUCCUGACACUGAGGCACGAAGGCCAGGGGAGCAAACGGG
rnacentral:rRNA from 1 species